UGGGGAAUAUUGGACAAUGGGCGCAAGCCUGAUCCAGCCAUGCCGCGUGAGUGAUGAAGGCCCUAGGGUUGUAAAGCUCUUUCGCCAGGGACGAUAAUGACGGUACCUGGAUAAGAAGCCCCGGCUAACUUCGUGCCAGCAGCCGCGGUAAUACGAAGGGGGCUAGCGUUGUUCGGAAUCACUGGGCGUAAAGCGCACGUAGGCGGAUCUUUAAGUCAGGGGUGAAAUCCCGAGGCUCAACCUCGGAACUGCCUUUGAUACUGGGAGGUCUCGAGUCCGGGAGAGGUGAGUGGAACUGCGAGUGUAGAGGUGAAAUUCGUAGAUAUUCGCAAGAACACCAGUGGCGAAGGCGGCUCACUGGCCCGGUACUGACGCUGAGGUGCGAAAAGCGUGGGGAGCAAACAGGAUUAGAUACCCUGGUAGUCCACGCCGUAAACUAUGGAUGCUAGCCGUUGGGCAGCUUGCUGUUCAGUGGCGCAGCUAACGCUUUAAGCAUCCCGCCCUGGGGGAGUACGGUCGCAAGAUUAAAACUCAAAUGAAUUGACGGGGUCAUAGCU
rnacentral:rRNA from 1 species